rnacentral:rRNA from 1 species
CGUAUAUUAAAGUUGUUGCAGUUAAAAGNUCGUAGUUGAAUUUCGGAGUUUGUCGGUUGGUCGGGCUUCACUGUCCGCACUGACCUGAUAGAUUCCUACCUUCUGAACAACCAGCAUGCUAUUAAGUUAGUGCGUUGGGGAAGCAGAGCUAUUACCUUGAAAAAUUAGAGUGCUUAAAGCAGGCUUAUGCUUGAAUAGAUUAGCAUGGAAUAAUAAAUAGGACGGCAUGGUUCUAUUUUAGUUGGUUUCUAGGAUCACCGUAAUGAUUAAUAGGGAUAUUGGGGGCAUUAGUAUUCAAUUGUCAGAGGUGAAAUUCUUGGAUUUAUUGAAGACUAACUACUGCGAAAGCAUUUGCCAAGGAUGUUUUCAUUAAUCAAGAACGAAAGUUAGGGGAUCGAAGACGAUCAGAUACCGUCGUAGUCUUAACCAUAAACUAUGCCGACUAGGGAUCGGAUGAUGUUAAUUUUUUUAAUGACUCAUUCGGCGCCUUACG